GCGGUAAUACAGAGGGUGCAAGCGUUAAUCGGAAUUACUGGGCGUAAAGCGCGCGUAGGUGGUUUGUUAAGUCGGAUGUGAAAUCCCCGGGCUCAACCUGGGAACUGCAUCCGAAACUGGCAAGCUAGAGUAUGGUAGAGGGUAGUGGAAUUUCCUGUGUAGCGGUGAAAUGCGUAGAUAUAGGAAGGAACACCAGUGGCGAAGGCGACUACCUGGACUGAUACUGACACUGAGGUGCGAAAGCGUGGGGAGCAAACAGGAUUA
rnacentral:rRNA from 1 species